AUUUAGAGAGAAGAAGAAUUGUUAAGAAAAAGGGUGGGAGACUGAGUUUGUGGAUAUAGUGGAAAAUUGGGAAAACACCUUAUAUUUCUAGCAAAAGCUUUGGUGUCAAGAUGAAUUAGUAGGCAAGACAAAGACUAAACCAGUUGAGACUGAAUUAGAUGAGAGUAAUAGAGCUUUAUUUAUUUCCUGUAAAGUUGUAAGAUUUUGGAGCUAUUUUUAUAAGAGAAGUUUAUUUUAAA